GAGUUUGAUCAUGGCUCAGAACGUACGCUGGCGGCACGCCUAACACAUGCAAGUCGAACGAAGUAGCAAUACUUAGUGGCAGACGGGUGAGUAACAUGUAGGUAUCUACCCUUUGGCCUGGAAUAACACGAGGAAACUUGUGCUAAUACUGGAUAAGUCUUUACGGAGAAAGCUUUAUGCACCAUUGGAUGAGCCUGCACUUGAUUAGUUUGUUGGUGGGGUAAUGGCCUACCAAGACUUUGAUCAAUAGCUGAUUUGAGAGGAUGAUCAGCCACAUUGGGACUGAGACACGGCCCAAACUCCUACGGGAGGCAGCAGUGGGGAAUCUUGCACAAUGGAGGAAACUCUGAUGCAGCGAUGCCGCGUGAGUGAAGAAGGCCCUUGGGUUGUAAAGCUCUUUCGUCGGGGAAGAAAAUGACUGUACCCGAAUAAGAAGGUCCGGCUAACUUCGUGCCAGCAGCCGCGGUAAUACGAAGGGACCUAGCGUAGUUCGGAAUUACUGGGCUUAAAGAGUUCGUAGGUGGUUGAAAAAGUUGGUGGUGAAAUCCCAGAGCUUAACUCUGGAACUGCCAUCAAAACUUUUCAGCUAGAGUUUGAUAGAGGAAAGCAGAAUUUCUAGUGUAGAGGUGAAAUUCGUAGAUAUUAGAAAGAAUACCAAUUGCGAAGGCAGCUUUCUGGAUCAAUACUGACACUGAGGAACGAAAGCAUGGGUAGCGAAGAGGAUUAGAUACCCUCGUAGUCCAUGCCGUAAACGAUGUGUGUUAGACGUUGGAAAUUUAUUUUCAGUGUCGCAGCGAAAGCGAUAAACACACCGCCUGGGGAGUACGACCGCAAGGUUAAAACUCAAAUGAAUUGACGGGGACCCGCACAAGUAGUGGAGCAUGUGGUUUAAUUCGAAGAUACGCGCAGAACCUUACCAACACUUGACAUGUUCGUCGCGACUUUAAGAGAUUAAAGUUUUCGGUUCGGCCGGACGAAACACAGGUGCUGCAUGGCUGUCGUCAGCUCGUGUCGUGAGAUGUUGGGUUAAGUCCCGCAACGAGCGCAACCCUCACUUUUAGUUGCCAUCAUUAAGUUGGGCACUCUGAAAGAACUGCCAGUGAUAAGCUGGAGGAAGGUGGGGAUGACGUCAAGUCCUCAUGGCCCUUACGUGUUGGGCUACACACGUGCUACAAUGGUAUCUACAACAGGAAGCAAGACGGCGACGUUAAGCAAAUCCUCAAAAGAUACUUCAGUUCGGAUUGCACUCUGCAACUCGAGUGCAUGAAGCUGGAAUUACUAGUAAUCGUGGAUCAGCGUGCCACGGUGAAUGCGU
rnacentral:rRNA from 1 species